rnacentral:rRNA from 1 species
UGGGGAAUAUUGCACAAUGGGGGAAACCCUGAUGCAGCGACGCCGCGUGAACGAAGAAGGUAUUCGUAUCGAAAAGUUCUGUCCUAUGGGAAGAUAAUGACAGUACCAUAGAAGAAAGCUCCGGCUAAAUACGUGCCAGCAGCCGCGAUAAUACGGAUGGAGCGAGCGUUGUCCGGAAUUAUUUGGCGUAAAGGGUACGCAGGCGGUUUAAUAAGUCGAAUGUUAAAGAUCGGGGCUCAACCCCGCAAAGCAUUGGAAACUGAUAAACUUGAGUAGUGGAGAGGAAAGUGGAAUUCCUAGUGUAGUGGUGAAAUACGUAGAUAUUAGGAGGAAUACCAGUAGCGAAGGCGACUUUCUGGACACAAACUGACGCUGAGGUACGAAAGCGGGGGGAGCAAACAGG